GUGAGGAAUUUUCCGCAAUGGGCGAAAGCCUGACGGAGCAAUGCCGCGUGAAGGAUGAAGGCCUAUGGGUUGUAAACUUCUUUUCUCAGAAAAGAAUUAUGACGGUAUCUGAGGAAUAAGCAUCGGCUAACUCUGUGCCAGCAGCCGCGGUAAGACAGAGGAUGCAAGCGUUAUCCGGAAUGAUUGGGCGUAAAGCGUCUGUAGGUUGUUUAAAAAGUAUUCUGUCAAAGAUUAGGGCUUAACCCUAGAUAGGCAGAAUAAACUUUUAAGCUAGAGUUUGGUAGAGGUAGAGGGAAUUCCCGGUGGAGCGGUGAAAUGCGUAGAUAUCGGGAGGAACACCAAAGGCGAAGGCACUCUGCUGGGCCAAUACUAACACUGAGAGACGAAAGCGAGGGGAGCAAAUGGGAUUAGAUACCCGUGUAGUCC
rnacentral:rRNA from 1 species